rnacentral:rRNA from 1 species
GAUCAGGCUCAGGAUGAACGCUAGCUACAGGCUUAACACAUGCAAGUCGAGGGGAAACGACAUCGAAAGCUUGCUUUUGAUGGGCGUCGACCGGCGCACGGGUGAGUAACGCGUAUCCAACCUGCCCAUCACUUGGGAAUAACCUUGCGAAAGUAAGACUAAUACCCAAUGAUAUCCCACGAAGGCAUCCGAAUGGGAUUAAAGAUUUAUCGGUGAUGGAUGGGGAUGCGUCUGAUUAG